GCCAACUCUUAACCAAUGAGCCACUCGGCCAGCCCAGCCCUAAUUUUUUUGACCCCUUAGUAUUUUUUGUUGAUGUGAUCACUCUUCCUUGUAACUCUUGUUCUUUGGUUUUAGAAGCACCAUAUUCUUGUCUGCCUCUUGACUUCUCAAGGCCUUUCCCACUCCUGUUUCUCCACCUGUUCCUUAAACGUUGAUUUCCCCCAAGACUGUUCUCAGCCCUCUCCUCUUUUCCAUCCUGUGGAUGAUCCUAUCCCCUUCCAUGACUAGUUACCACUAUAUGCUGCUCUUGCUUCCAGCUGACUCCUGAAUACUCGAUGUUCACAGUAUGCUUCUGAGCUCAUGCUUUUCUGCCGUCCCCUACCUCCCUACUUCCAACGACUCCCUUGGUUAAUUUUAGUAACCAAGGCCUACCAAUGAAAGAAUAUGGCAUUUUCAGGUAAUGAGCUCUGGAAAAAUGCCUCAUCCUAGGAAAUAGCACAUGGGUAACUGAGUAAGUUUAAGAAUGAAGUUCAAAGGAGGCCUAGGAGGUGUCAUCUCAGCAAAGCAUACUGCGUUUCCCACAUCUAAAAAUGUAACCUCAUGUAUCCAUCCAUUCAUGAAUACAGUUGCCAGGCACUGUGAUAUUUGGUGCUAGCCAAUGGAUACAAUUAACCUAAUCAAAUGAGCACUUCUGAGCUCAUGCUUUUGCGCCAUGAACCUCCCUACCUUCCAAUGACUACCUUGGUUAAUUUCCUAAACCAGAAAACUUGGAGUCAUUCUCUACUAUUAUCCAUCCCUCCAAAUUCAGUCACCAAAUCCUAUCAAUUUUUCUUCAGAAAGACCUGAUUCUGUUGCCUGUCACUGCCACUUCCUCAUUUUAGGCCCAUUAUAUCUUUUCUGGGUUAUUGACAUAUCCCUAUGCUUUGGUCAUUUCCCCCACUCUAGGCUCGCCUCCAUACUGCUGCCAGAAUAAACUUCCCUGGAAACAAGUCUGAUCAUAUUAUUCUCAGCCUAUACCAUAAAGUCUAAAAUCCUGAGUGUGGCUUAUAUGUCUCUUUAUUAUCUGGCUGUAUUCUAUUUUUCUGCCGUGUCUCCUGCUUCCUGCCCACAUGGAGCAUACAUUUCGGUCAUGUUGAAAUUUUUCUGAAUACACCUUAAAUUGAGUAUUCCCUUUUAGGUUUCUGAGUCUCAGCAUAUACUAUUAUUUUUUCCUGGAAUACGCUUUACCUUGUUGAUCCUGGUCAUAUUUCAAGACCCAGCUCACUGUCAUUCUUUGAGGAUGCCAUUCCCAACUCACCUUGCUGCAAGUAAAGUCUGAGUAUGUCUGCGUUCAUGAGUAAGCAUGUGAACAUCUGUGUGUAGAGAGAGACUCUCAGCAGGAGGAAGGUGUUGGUGUCUGAUAAUAUGGUGGGAGUCUUCCAUUACCAGAGAGACAAUCCAUAUGGCCCUGGUACUAUGUGGAUAGAACGUCUGAGAUGGUGAAACCUGGACUGAGGAGCAAUUAAUUAUAAAACAGAAAACUCUUGAAGUAGGGAUACAACUACAUGAAGGAGAUGAAUGUGAACAAAACAAACAUGAGGGAGCCUUUGAAUAUGGAUGAAACUUCAGUAAUAUGGCAAACUUUAUCCGACAACCACAAAUUCUUACUGAUGAGAAACCUCAAAUGUGUAAUAUUUGUGGAAAAUUAUUUAGGCAGAGCUCCUACCUUAUUCAGCAUGAAAAAAUCCAGUACACGGGCCGGCCGAGUGGCGCAAUGGUUAAGAACUGGCUUGGGACACCAGAGGGCCCCGGUUCGGAUGCCACA